rnacentral:lncRNA from 1 species
AGGUAUCUAGAGGGGACCUCAGAAGAGGCAGGUGGUAGAGUCUUCCCUUACAACCUCUACUCCACAGAGCAGCAGAGAGAUCGUGGCUGCAGAGACAUCUGUGGUACCCUCCUCAAACCAAAGCUUCCAUUGUACAGAUGUGGAAACAAAGGCCCAGGGAGUUGAAGUAACCCAUCCAUGGUCACAAGUUGGUUUAGUGGCCAAUUUGUUACCCAAAAAUUCCAUCACCCUCUUGCAUUGCUCUUGAUGCCCUGCUGGAUUCUUCCAGGGGAAUCCCACUUUGCACACACAAGACAUUCUCCCAAGGGAGAGAUGAGGACACUGGUACACAGCUGGCAAACUUCUCCAAUAGGGGAAGUGAGAAAUGGGAACUGUGCCACACCCGUCCGAUUUCAACAGACCCCAUCGUUGUACGCCAAAACAGUGGAGAAAUUGUUCAUCUACAUUUCAUUCCUGCCUGAAACAUUCCUAUUGCAAAAAAAAUGAACUUCCUUUACCUGAGGGGAACCAUAACUAAACUAAGCACACCAACAAGAUCAAAAGGCACAGUUUCGUUGCGGGGAGGAUUCAAGACCAAGGCCAUCGGACAUCUUGGGAACCUGAAAGAGCAGGGCAGACAGAACCAAGAUCCAAAUCUGGAGCUACUUGCAAAAGAGAAUAUGAAAACAGACUAAAAGAAGGUCUUCCAGAGCAAAAGUGAAGGAACCCGUUGUUGACUCUGAGCUAAUUUUAAAAAUGUCCCUUUUCUUUUGAAAUUUCAUCACCAUGACUCAUCUCCCUGUGGGCCAAAUUCUGAAGCUCUGAGUCAGCCUCACUCCUAGGAGCUGGAGCUCAAUAGGAGUUUUACCUAAAUAAAGCUUGCAAGAUGAGUCCGUUAUGAUACA